rnacentral:rRNA from 1 species
UACGGAGGGUGCGAGCGUUACUCGGAAUCACUGGGCGUAAAGGGCGCGUAGGCGGUUUGGUAAGUUGGAUGUGAAAGCCCACGGCUCAACCGUGGAACUGCGUCCAAAACUGCCAGACUAGAGUCCGGAAGAGGCAGGUGGAAUUGGUGGUGUAGGGGUAAAAUCCGUAGAGAUCACCAGGAAUACCCAUUGCGAAGGCGACCUGCUGGGACGGUACUGACGCUGAGGCGCGAAAGCGUGGGGAGCAAACAGGAUUAGAUACCCUGGUAGUCCACGCCCUAAACGAUGGAUGCUAGUCGUUGGGAAGCCAGUCUUCCCAGCGAUGCAGCUAACGCAAUAAGCAUCCCUCCUGGGGAGUACGGCCGCAAGGCUAAAACUCAAAGGAAUAGACGGGGACCCGCACAAGCGGUGGAGCAUGUGGUUUAAUUCGAAGAUACGCGAAGAACCUUACCUGGGCUUGACAUCCCUGGAAUCCCCUAGAGAUAGGGGAGUGCCUCCUUAUGGAGGAGCCAGGAGACAGGUGCUGCACGGCUGUCGUCAGCUCGUGUCGUGAGAUGUUGGGUUAAGUCCCGCAACGAGCGCAACCCUCGCCUCUAGUUGCCAGCACUUAGGGUGGGCACUCUAGAGGGACUGCCCGGGUAACCGGGAGGAAGGUGAGGAUGACGUCAAGUCAUCAUGGCCCUUAUGCCCAGGGCGACACACGUGCUACAAUGGCGCGUACAGAGAGAGGCGAUACCGCGAGGUGGAGCAAAUCUCUAAAGCGCGUCCCAGUUCGGAUUGCAGUCUGCAACUCGACUGCAUGAAGUCGGAAUCGCUAGUAAUCGCGGAUCAGCCAUGCCGCGGUGAAUACGUUCCCGGGUC